rnacentral:rRNA from 1 species
GAUGAACGCUAGCUACAGGCUUAACACAUGCAAGUCGCGGGGCAGCAUUUCCUUAGCUUGCUAAGGAAGAUGGCGACCGGCGCACGGGUGAGUAACGCGUAUCCAACCUUCCCAUGUCCACGGGAUAGCCCGUCGAAAGGCGGAUUAAUACUGUAUGAGGUCACAUGCGGGCAUCUAAGUGUGACGAAAGGUUUAGCGGACAUGGAUGGGGAUGCGUCCGAUUAGCUUGUUGGCGGGGUAACGGCCCACCAAGGCGACGAUCGGUAGGGGUUCUGAGAGGAAGGUCCCCCACAUUGGAACUGAGACACGGUCCAAACUCCUACGGGAGGCAGCAGUGAGGAAUAUUGGUCAAUGGGCGAGAGCCUGAACCAGCCAAGUAGCGUGCAGGAUGACGGCCCUAUGGGUUGUAAAACUGCUUUUAUAAGGGGAAUAAAGUGGGGCUCGUGAGCUCCUUUGCAUGUACCUUAUGAAUAAGGACCGGCUAAUCCGUGCCAGCAGCC